rnacentral:lncRNA from 1 species
GGGCCCGGAGUUAAGGAGGAAUAGACCGUUUCUCUCUCUCCUGUCUCCCCCGCCUCUGCCCGUCUUCCCUCUAAGCCGGCCUCUAGGUGCAGAGGCUGACGUCCAGGAUGGGGACCGGGGAAGCCUCUGGAGGGUAUAUCCGGGAAGGCACCAAGGCUGAAAAAGAUGCAGUCUAGCACCUCAGUUAAGAAUAUGGACUCUAAAGUCAGACUGCCAGGCUUCAAAUUCCAGUUCUGCGACCUCAGCAAAGUUACUUAACCAAGCUCUCAGUGCCUUGUUUUCUUCAUCUGUAAAAUGAGGAUGACGUCACAGCAUUGUUGAGAGAAUUAAUACAGGCUCCAGACUUGUGAAUGGAGAAGUGUUGAGGUGACCCCAGCUCCAGCCACCAGCUGACGACAACCAUACCGGAGAUCCUGAGAGCUGCCUAGCUGACCCCAGGCACCCCCCAGACUUAUUCAGCACUUAGAAGAAUGCCAGGCAGGCUUUCCCCACCAACCAAGAUGGAAUAACAGGGAAAAGACAUACCCUUCUAUCUUCAAUAAUUGGAAACCCAGACAAAGUUUAUGAAACGCUGGUUUUCAAGACAUAGGACAUCAGACAAUCAAGGACAGUAAACACUGAGAUGGGAAACAAACAAGCCAAAAACUGGAAACAGCCCAAAUGUCCAGCAACAAAAGAAUGGAUAAACAAAUUGUGGUAUAUUUACUACCUAGCAGUUGAAAGAAAUAAACCUCUGACACACACAAGCUGGAUUAAAAAAGAAGAGGAAAUGAAUUAUUGAUACAUAUAAUAAAGAUUACUCUCAAAAUAAUUAUGGUAAGUCAAAGAAGUCAGACCAUGCUCCCUAAGAGUAUAUACUUCAUGAUUCAAUUUCUGUACAAUUCUAUAAAAUGCAAAUUAAUAUAUGAUAACAAAAAGUGAUUGCCUGGAAAUGGUGAGAGGACAGAGGGGCCAGAAUCAGCCAGGAUUACAAAGAUGCACAAGGAAACUUUUGAGGGUGGUGGAUAUCUUGAGUGUGGUGAUAGUUUUACAGUUGUAUGCCUAUGUUAGAAGCUAUCAAAUUGUACACUUUAAGUAUGUACACUUUGUUGUAUAUUAAUUAUGCCUUAAUAAAGUUAUUAUAAAAAGUAGUUCCAGGCAAUACUAGACACUCAAUAAACAUUUGUAAACUAGUCGUUGACUUUCUUGGACUGUGACUUGUUAGCAGUUAGGGAUUGAUUAUUC